GAUGAACGCUGGCGGCGUGCUUAACACAUGCAAGUCGAACGAAGCACCUUAUUUGAUUUCCUUCGGGACUGAUUAUUUUGUGACUGAGUGGCGGACGGGUGCGUAACGCGUGGGUAACCUGCCUUGUACAGGGGGAUAAUAGUUGGAAACGGCUGCUAAUACCGCAUAAGCGCACGGCAUCGCAUGAUGCAGUGUGAAAAGCUCCGGGGGGAUAAGAUGGACUCGCGUUGGAUUAGCUAGUUGGUGAGGUAACGGCCCACCAAGGCGACGAUGCAUACCCGAGCGGGGAGGGGGACCGGCCACAUCGGGACUGAGACACAGCCCAAACUCCUACGGGAGGCAGCAGUGGGGAAUAUUGCACAAGGGGGGAAGGCCUGAUGCAGCGACGCCGCGUGAGCGAGGAAGUAGGUCGGUAUGUAAAGCUCUAUCAGCAGGGGAGAUAAUGACGGUACCUGACGAAGAAGCACCGGCUAAAUACGUG
rnacentral:rRNA from 1 species